rnacentral:RNase_P_RNA from 1 species
UGAAACGGUGGGGUAAGAGCCCACCGGCGGGUUCAGGCGACUGACCCGGCCGGGUAAACCCCACGGGGUGCAAGACCAAACAGUACCUCUCCCCUCGGGGAUUCGGCUGCCCGUCGAAAGCAGGUACGGGUAGGUUGCUCGAGGUCGUCGGUGACGGCGAUCCCAGAUAAAUGAUGAUCUCCGUGCGGCAUCGGCAACCGCGCGAAGACAGAAUUCGGCUUACAGGUCGGUGCAGGCC